rnacentral:rRNA from 1 species
AUUGAACGCUGGCGGCAUGCCUUACACAUGCAAGUCGAACGGUAACGGGCCUUCGGGUGCCGACGAGUGGCGAACGGGUGAGUAAUACAUCGGAACGUGCCCGAUCGUGGGGGAUAACGAGGCGAAAGCUUUGCUAAUACCGCAUACGAUCUACGGAUGAAAGCAGGGGACCGCAAGGCCUUGCGCGGACGGAGCGGCCGAUGGCAGAUUAGGUAGUUGGUGGGAUAAAGCUUACCAAGCCGACGGUCUGUAGCUGGUCUGAGAGGAUGAUCAGCCACACUGGGACUGAGACACGGCCCAGACUCCUACGGGAGGCAGCAGUGGGGAAUUUUGGACAAUGGGCGCAAGCCUGAUCCAGCCAUGCCGCGUGCAGGAUGAAGGCCUUCGGGUUGUAAACUGCUUUUGUACGGAACGAAAAGCCUUCUUUUAAUACAGGAGGGUCAUGACGGUACCGUAAGAAUAAGCACCGGCUAACUACGUG